rnacentral:rRNA from 1 species
AGAGUUUGAUCCUGGCUCAGGAUGAACGCUGGCGGCGUGCCUAACACAUGCAAGUCGAGCGAGAUUUAGUGUAGUGGAGACUUUGGUCAAAGUGAAACUGAUGAAAGCGGCGGACGGGUGAGUAACGCGUGGGCAACCUGCCCCAUACAAAGGGAUAGCCACUGGAAACGGUGAUUAAUACCUUAUAAGUCGGUAGUCUCGCAUGAGACAGCCGACAAAGAUUUAUCGGUAUGGGAUGGGCCCGCGUUUGAUUAGCUAGUUGGUGAGGUAACGGCUCACCAAGGCGACGAUCAAUAGCCGACCUGAGAGGGUGAUCGGCCACACUGGAACUGAGACACGGUCCAGACUCCUACGGGAGGCAGCAGUGGGGAAUAUUGCACAAUGGGCGCAAGCCUGAUGCAGCAACGCCGCGUGAGUGAUGAAGGCCUUCGGGUCGUAAAACUCUGUCCUAUGGGAAGAAAAAAAUGACGGUACCAUAGGAGGAAGCCCCGGCUAACUACGUGCCAGCAGCCGCGGUAAUACGUAGGGGGCGAGCGUUACUCGGAUUCAUUGGGCGUAAAGCGAAUGUAGGUGGUUUUGUAAGUCAGAGGUGAAAUCCCACAGCCUAACUGUGGAAUUGCCUUUGAUACUGCAUAACUUGAGGACAGGAGAGGAAAGUGGAAUUCCCGGUGUAGCGGUGGAAUGCGUAGAUAUCGGGAGGAACACCAGAGGCGAAGGCGGCUUUCUGGACUGAUCCUGACACUGAGAUUCGAAAGCCAGGGGAGCAAACAGGAUUAGAUACCCUGGUAGUCC